rnacentral:rRNA from 1 species
CAGUAGCCGCGGUAAUACGUAGGGUGCAAGCGUUAAUCGGAAUUACUGGGCGUAAAGCGUGCGCAGGCGGUUAUAUAAGACAGAUGUGAAAUCCCCGGGCUCAACCUGGGAACUGCAUUUGUGACUGUAUAGCUAGAGUACGGCAGAGGGGGAUGGAAUUCCGCGUGUAACAGUGAAAUGCGUAGAUAUGCGGAGGAACACCGAUGGCGAAGGCAAUCCCCUGGGCCUGUACUGACGCUCAUGCACGAAAGCGUGGGGAGCAAACAGGAUUAGAUACCCCCGUAGUCCCUGUCUCUUAUAC